GACUCUCGGCAUUGGAUAUCUCGGCUCUCGGCAUCGGAUAUCUCGGCUCUCGCAUCGAUGUGAAUUGCAGAAUCCCGUGAAUCAUCGAGUUUUGAAUGCAAGUUGCGCUCAAAGCCUUUCGGUCGAGGGCACGCCUGCCUGGGUGUCA
rnacentral:rRNA from 1 species